rnacentral:rRNA from 1 species
UUGAACGCUGGCGGCAUGCCUUACACAUGCCAGUCGCACGGUAAUAGGUUAAGCUGACGAGUGGCGAACGGGUGAGUAAUACAUCGGAACGUGCCCAGUAGUGGGGGAUAGCCCGGCGAAAGCCGGAUUAAUACCGCAUACGACCUAAGGGUGAAAGGGGGGGAUCGCAAGACCUCUCGCUAUUGGAGCGGCCGAUGUCAGAUUAGCUAGUUGGUGGGGUAAAAGCUCACCAAGGCGACGAUCUGUAGCUGGUCUGAGAGGACGACCAGCCACACUGGGACUGAGACACGGCCCAGACUCCUACGGGAGGCAGCAGUGGGGAAUUUUGGACAAUGGGCGCAAGCCUGAUCCAGCCAUGCCGCGUGCGGGAAGAAGGCCUUCGGGUUGUAAACCGCUUUUGUCAGGGAAGAAAUCCUUUGGGUUAAUACCUCGGGGGGAUGACGGUACCUGAAGAAUAAGCACCGGCUAACUACGUG